ACGUCUCCCGCCGCGCUCGGUCUUGCGUCUUUUUGUCACAGAUCUUGAGCUGGAUACCUGAAUAUGUACAACAUAUCCAGCGUAGCGAGACGAGAUCGAACAUCGGCGGUCUUUGAGUACGGGCAAGGCAUGCGCUUCCCAUAGCCUUAUCUCGUAAUUUACCAGUCGGAACAGA
rnacentral:snoRNA from 1 species